UAGGUCUCUAUACCAAUCCAUAGAUCCUGUUGAUCCAGUUGUCCUAAAGACCUUUAAGAGAGUUGAGGUGAGUGGGAGCCUCAGCUACUCACGGGAAGCUUGCGUGUGGCCUUUCACAGACUUUUCUUUCCUCCUGCCAUGGCUUCUUCCAUCCACAGGUUCCUCCCACAGGGACACACCCUUCCCGGGUGGCAUUCUCCAGACACAAGGCAGAACCUGCUUUUCUCAUUUGUGACCUAACUAGAAAGUAACUACUGACAUCUCCAUCAUAUUCCAUAGGCCAAAGUAGUUAAGUGAAAGAAUGCUGGGACCAUGUUUUCUAAGUGCUACAGACCAACCAGUUCGUAUACGAUGUAACGGGUCCAGCAGAAAGCUUCUGGGAAGUCUGAAGUCUUCAUUUCUUCCCAGGAGUACUUACAGACCAACACUGAGAGAAAAAGAAAAGGAUUCAUUAGACAUUGUUUUCCAGCCUUUCCAACGAGGAAGUAAAGAGACUAGUCCACCCUCUGUUGAUUGCUAUGAAUGGCCAUCUUUUCCUGGGUUUGGUCUCAUCUUAGCACUGGACAAAAUGAUCAAAAAAACAGCUGCCUACCCACAAAACUAAGUUGCCUUUAACCUAUGAAGAAUCUGGAUGUCUGGACUGAAAGCAGUUCCAGGAAGCAGCAGAGGUUGCAGCUACCCCGAAUGUGCCCAUUUGCACUUCUCUGGAAAUGAUCAAUAGACAGCGUGGGUUCAUCCUCACCUUCUUCCCGCCCCACGCCCACUUGUGAGGUAAAGUACUGACCCAAGAGACUCUGAGUUACCACUUCAUCAAGCAAGAAAUUAGCAUGUAGAUCAGACUGUAUCACCGGACACAUCACAAAAGCUGGUAAUUCUGGAGAAACUUUUAAAUGCUGUUUUUUAUUGGGUCUCUUGGGGGAAUAUUUCAUAAAAUCAUUAAGGAAC
rnacentral:lncRNA from 1 species